UUUCAUUCAAUAAUUUCAACAAACAUUGAUAAUUAGAUAUUUUUCCUGAAACAAUACACACAAAAAUGAGUGCGAUAUACCUAUUUACUAAUUAUUUCAUUGUAGUUGAAAUUGUUCUGUAACAAAAGAGCUUUCCUUUCUAUUCUAUUUCUUCUUCUCUUAAUGUUGUUAUUGAUGAAUGAAUUAAUAAAAAUUAAUUGAAUUGUAACUGUUAAUCAGAAAAUUUGUGCUCAAAUUGUCCCAACUUUUUCCAGUGGAAACCCUUUCACAAGAGUGUUACUGGUUAUGAAUAUGUAAAAUACACAGUUAAAAAAAUCAAAAGUUUGUCAAAAGAUUAGACAAAUCUCUUCCCUCCUUCACUUCUUUAUAGGUUACCAUUAUAGUUUACUAUUUUCACUCUCUUCUGAAAAAAAAGUAAAAAUGAAA